AAGUCAGUAACAAGGUUUUCGUAGGUGAACCUGCGGAAGGAUCAUUACAAAUAAAGCUAGGCAUACGGAAGUGGGGUCUUGAUCUGUAAGUGGUAGAGCGAACAGUACGGCUGCCUCCCGAAAUGUCUUACAUGUCCCCCACAGCCUGAAGGCCGAAUUUACAACCCUUGAUUAUCUACACUUAAGUUGCAAUUUGGGGUUGCUCAAAGUGCCCCAGAGGACCCAACUCUCUUGCAUUUAGUGACGUCAUGAGUACUAUAUAAUAUUUAAAA
rnacentral:misc_RNA from 1 species